AACGAACGCUGGCGGCAUGCCUAACACAUGCAAGUCGAACGAGACCUUCGGGUGUAUUGGCGCACGGGGGCGUAACGCGUGGGAACCUGCCCUUAGGUUCGGAAUAACUCCCCGAAAGGGGUGCUAAUACCGGAUAAGGUCUUCGGACCAAAGAUUUAUCGCCUUUGGAUGGGCCCGCGUUGGAUUAGCUAGUUGGUAGGGUAAAAGCCUACCAAGGCGACGAUCCAUAGCUGGUCUGAGAGGAUGAUCAGCCACACUGGGACUGAGACACGGCCCAGACUCCUACGGGAGGCAGCAGUGGGGAAUAUUGGACCAUGGGCGAAAGCCUGAUCCAGCAAUGCCGCGUGAGUGAUGAAGGCCUUAGGGUUGUAAAGCUCUUUUACCCGGGAUGAUAAUGACAGUACCGGGAGAAUAAGCUCCGGCUAACUCCGUG
rnacentral:rRNA from 1 species